rnacentral:tRNA from 1 species
GGUUACAGCUCAGUGGUAAAGUGCUUGCCUAGUAUGAGUAAGGUGCUGGGUUCAAUUCUCAGAACCA